rnacentral:rRNA from 1 species
AGUGAACGCUGGCGGUAGGCCUAACACAUGCAAGUCGAACGGCAGCACAGUAAGAGCUUGCUCUUACGGGUGGCGAGUGGCGGACGGGUGAGGAAUACAUCGGAAUCUACUUUUUCGUGGGGGCUAACGUAGGGAAACUUACGCUAAUACCGCAUACGACCUACGGGUGAAAGCAGGGGAUCUUCGGACCUUGCGCGAUUGAAUGCGCCGAUGUCGGAUUAGCUAGUUGGCGGGGUAAAGGCCCACCAAGGCGACGAUCCGUAGCUGGUCUGAGAGGAUGAUCAGCCACACUGGAACUGAGACACGGUCCAGACUCCUACGGGAGGCAGCAGUGGGGAAUAUUGGACAGUGGGCGCAAGCCUGAUCCAGCCAUACCGCGUGGGUGAAGAAGGCCUUCGGGUUGUAAAGCCCUUUUGUUGGGAAAGAAAAGCAGCAGGUUAAUACCCCGCUGUUCUGACGGUACCCAAAGAAUAAGCACCGGCUAACUUCGUG